CAAAACUUUCAACAACGGAUCUCUUGGUUCUGGCAUCGAUGAAGAACGCAGCGAAAUGCGAUAAGUAAUGUGAAUUGCAGAAUUCAGUGAAUCAUCGAAUCUUUGAACGCACAUUGCGCCCGCUAGUAUUCUGGCGGGCAUGCCUGUUCGAGCGUCAUUUCAACCCUC
rnacentral:rRNA from 1 species